GAAAGUGGAUAGUUCCGGGGGAGGGGAGGAAUAGUUCCGAUCGUGAAGCAUAAUGACAGGAGCCAUAAAAAUGUCAACUUGGAUGUCUGUAGUGUCAGUGACCGCUGUGGAUCCCUGUUGUCUCCUGUAUGUCUCUGUAGAAAUGGAAUAUUUGGUACAUCCAGCCCUUAUGUAGUCACGCUCCUGUUUAUUGUGCUCCUGACUUGUGGAUGAGGUGCUAGAAUGUGCCUGGCCCUGUGCUAUUCCAUGCAGAGUGUUUGCUAUUAUUUUAAUACAUUGCAUGGGUCACCAAUUGCUUCUCUGCUGCUGCUGCUGCUGCUGCUGGAAAUUGGUAGGAUUGCCACUUGUCAUCUAAUGCCAUGUUAGCCAUGCCAGUGCACUUCCACACCUUAUGUCAUGUAACCAUUUAGUAACAGAAACCCCACGACUGGAUCAGUAUCAUCCUAAUGUCACAGUUGUUGGUCAUUUCGACUAAAGCCCUCAUAGAAGCCAAGCUCCCCUUUAUCUGAACAGAGUUUAACAACAUCUAGAAUAUGAAAUAAUUAUUCACCGCCACAGAUUUCAGGUGAAUCGUAGCCUCACUUUAACUUGCCUUCAUGCUGAGCGUUACCUGUCACUACUCCAGGCCUCACAAUUGGGAACCCUAAUAACAAGCGUUUAGUUGACAUUUCUCUGUCCAGUAAGAAUAAUACCUGAUGCUCUUAUGUAUCUGGAUUGUGAGCUCUGUUAGCCCACUCCUCUGAUGGGUGAAGCUGUUUUUCUGUGAUAGGUGUACUUGUACUUUUUCCAGAAAUCAUGGCAAUUCUUCCUAUGGAUUUCCAUAGGGUGAUUUCUCUUAAUAUACACUAUGCCAACCAUUGGAUAGCGUUGGUCACAGAUUUGUCAUUGGAUCUUUUCUUUUUGUUAAAUACAUGACCAAAUAUAAUAGUUUUUGUUUUAUUUGUUUAGCUAGUGUUUCUUCAUCUACUUUUAGGACUUGUUUAAAAAUCAGAUGAUGGUUUAGGUCACAUUCAUGUAAAAAUAUAGAUAUAUUGAAGGGUUCACAAAUUUUGAAGCACAACUGUAGCUGAGAUUAAAUGAAGCCUAAAAAAGUGGCCUAGCCAACCAGUUAUAAAUGUAUGUAUAUGUAUUUUGGUUAAAUACUACAAUUAAAAUUAUGGUGGCAGUGGUCUCAAUUUAAUAUUUUGCACAUCUGGACAUUCAAGAGACACUGGUUUACUUGAAAGCCAAAUAAAAAUAGUGGCUUGACAGUGAUGGGUGGGUUGAGCUAAUGUUAACUUUUUGAAAUAGAAAAAUUACAUUUUCUGUAACUGAAGUGUAGGCAGCAUUAAACCAUAGCAACCAGUAAAGUCAUUUGGAUUUUUCAACUACCCCACAUUUUCUGUACCUGGGCAACCCAUUUUCUUGUCAAAAAAGAAAAAUAUAUCUUCUUAAUUGCAGUACAGGUAUGGGAUUCUUUAUCCAGAAACCCGUUGUCCGGAAAGCUGCGAAUAAUGAUUUAAUCACCUCAACUCCUGAAUGUCUACAUAGCCUGGUGAGUUGGACCCACAGAAAUGGAGGAGGCUGCUCCUUCCCACCUAUACUGAAGAGGGUGAAGAGGUCUUCAAGUGAACACUAAAGGAACUCUACUCUUGCCUUCAAUGACCUCUUUUUAAAAAAAGAGUGCAGUGACCUCUCAGAUGGAGAUUUUCAGAGCCAGGACGAAGAAGAAACCAGACAGCAGCCUUCCUCAGAGGACUCCUUUGAACCAUGCAUAGACAAGAGGGAGGAACUGCCUACAAGUGUCCUUACCAAAGCUGCACAGCUGUAUACAGAGGUUCUGACGAUAUGAAGAAACACAUUAAGGAACAUCAUGAGGAGGUGCGGGAGCGACCAUGUCCACACCCUGGCUGCAACAAAGUAUUUAUGAUAGACCAGUACCUACAGAGGCAUGUCAAGCUCAUUCACACAGAGGAGAGAAACCACAUUUGUGACCAGUGUAGACAAGCUUUCAAGCAACAGAAGCACCUCUCUGUGCACCAGUCUAUACAAGAACAAGCUUUGGUGCCUACUGUCAACCGAGACACAGCUGUCGUACGUAAAGGACAGGCUCUCCAUCUCUAUCCCUCCUGAGAUUCUACACUCUUUCCCUGGAUCCACUCAUCUUGGCUCAGCUGCACGUUACAGCCCACAGGUCUGAUUUCUUCUGGGACCACCAACCUAGGAACACUUCUCUUCUGCUCCCUUGCGUCUCGCUUCAUCCCUGGUCUUCAGCCCCAGAGCUACAGUAUCAGCGCCACCAUCAACCCGAUUCAUAAUGUACUGGGGAUGAAGCUGCUGAAGAGGACUUGCUGGCGCAAUAUGGAUAUUUUCCAAUGUGUCCUUUCAGGCCUGCGAUCCAAAGAAUGUGCCUAAAGAAGCCUCUGCUCCCCACGCCCAAUGACAACAUGUAUAUUGGUAUCUACUGCCCCACUUUCUGCAGCACUUACAACUUUCCCAACGCCAAGGUAUCUCUAUCCAUCUAUCUGUCUGUUCAUGUAACCAGUGAAACAGUACAGCAUCCCAGACAAAUAUUUCCUGGCCUAGAAGCACAUCUUCACCUUUAUCCCCGAACUUGUUAACUACCACCAGCAUAAUUGAACAGGUAUGGAUGUUUUAUUAUAUCUAUCCAUUAUAUCUGUCUGCCUGUCUUCUUACCAUCCAUCCAUCUAUCUGUCUGUCUAUCCACCAUCUAUCAAUCUACAUGUCAAUGUUUACCUAGUUAUCUUUUUGUUCUCUUGUCUGUUAGCCUGUAUCUGCCUCUCUUCCGUUAGUGUGUAUAUAUGUAUAUAUAUAUAUAUAUUAAAGAUAUUAACAUUUUCACUCUCUCCAUUGUACCAGAUACAAUUGGUUUAUUCACUAGUAAUGCCCCAUUUGCUAGACAUAGAAAAUAUCACAUGUACAAAGAAUCACACAACGUCUGUGUUGUCAAGAUAAGUGGUAUGCUUUACAUACAGUUCUACAGGGCUUGUUUCACUUAAACUUGACAUAUUUAUAAAUGCUUUCUUUAAAGGGUUUAUAUACUUAUACAUGCUCACGCAAAGCUGACUGUGUGUCAUGUGAGUGUAGCAGGGAUUCGAUAUGAACAGCACCACAAUGUCUUGUUAUUAUAAAAAUGCCUUUAUUGCACACUUAUAGGGCAUUACCGGGCGGGUGGUAAUGCAUUUGCUGGUGGGAAGUGGCCACUAGAGAACCUGCACCCAUACAAAGUAAGAAGAUUUAACAAAGUUGUGCUGACUAUUUAUCUUACAGACAUGUCAUUUGUUGCUACUUGUGGAUUCCAAGCCCUUUCAUGUUCUGUGGUGCAUAGGCAAGUGGGAAAUUGACCCCAGACAAACACAAAUUCCCUGUUAAAUGGUCGGCUAAAGAAGUUUUCUUUGGACUUUACAGCUGCAGAUCCAACAUGUGGUCAUUUGGAGUGUUGGUGUGGGAGAUGUUCAGCAAGAGCAGGAAAAAAUCUUUUCAACUCGAAGCUGUGGAGAAAAUCUCAGCAGGACUGAGGCUCUUCAAACCCAAGAUGUCUUCUGAAAGGGGGUACAUGCAGAUGAACAACGGCUGGCAAAAGCAUGUCUGGAGCAACCCAACAUUGGGCUGAUACCCUCAACAGAGAAACAGAAUCAAUCUCAGAAUCUUCCCAGCACAUUAUAUUUGAAAGGACUUUUUGUUGAAUCAACUGUGCUGCUGUAGCUGCCCUAUAGUACUGCAUAAGGCCUAUAUAAGAUACAUUUUACCAUUCUGUGUAUUUUAUGUUCCUGAAUAAAUUUUAAUACUAUUGUU